rnacentral:piRNA from 1 species
UCAGCGCUGUGCUACACGCAA